rnacentral:rRNA from 1 species
CCUACGGGAGGCAGCAGUGAGGAAUAUUGGUCAAUGGGCGCGAGCCUGAACCAGCCAAGUAGCGUGAAGGAUGACUGCCCUACGGGUUGUAAACUUCUUUUAUAAAGGAAUAAAGUUAAGCACGUGUUCCUUUUUGUAUGUACUUUAUGAAUAAGGAUCGGCUAACUCCGUGCCAGCAGCCGCGGUAAUACGGAGGAGCCGAGCGUUAUCCGGAUUUAGUGGGUUUAAAGGGAGCGUAGAUGGGUUGUUAAGUCAGAUGUGAAAGUUUGCGGCUUAACCGUAAAAUUGCAAUUGAUACUGGCAGGCUUGAGUACAGUUGAGGUAGGCGGAAUUCGUGGUGUAGCGGUGAAAUGCUUAGAUAUCACGAAGAACACCGAUUGCGAAGGCAGCUUACUAAACUGCCACUGACAUUGAUGCUCGAAAGUGUGGGUAUCAAACAGGAUUAGAUACCCUUGUAGUC